rnacentral:lncRNA from 1 species
UGCAAAACAGAUGAAAGAGGAAUGCUACCAUCAAAAGCAACAUAUAAUAUCUCAAUAAAUAAAAGCACAAGCUUUUAAUUUCACGAUUCAAUGAUAACACGUUCGAUCAUGUGGCUUAAACACAAUUUGAAAAUAAUACAAGGGAAGGAAGAAAUAAUCUGCUGCUACAAUUUGGGAAAAUCAAAAGGAAUGUUUGACGAGCUAGUGUGGUCUUCAAUGAAAAAGAAUAGGAUAGCCUACGCUAUUGUACAAAUACAUUCGGUCCUUAUUUUCAAGGCCUACUAAAAUCACACAUGGGAUAUUGAAAUGGACAACGAC